GGCGACCCCAGGUCAGGCGGGAUAACCCGCUGAG
rnacentral:rRNA from 60 species